GACGAACGCUGGCGGCGUGCCUAAUACAUGCAAGUCGAACGCAGUGGGGACGGGUGAGUAACACGUGGGUAACCUCCCAUCAGAGGGGAUAACACUUGGAAACAGGUGCUAAACCGAUACUGAUGGAUGGACCCGGGGGGCAUUAGCUAGUUGGUGCGGUAACGGCUCACCAAGGCCACGAUGCAUAGCGGGUCUGAGAGGAGGAUCGGCCACACUGGGACGGAGACACGGCCCAGACUCCUACGGGAGGCAGCAGUGGGGAAUCUUCGGCAAUGGGCGAAAGUCUGACCGAGCAACGCCGCGUGAGUGAAGAAGGUUUUCGGAUCGUAAAACUCUGUUGUUAGAGAAGCGGUAUCUAACCAGAAAGCCACGGCUAACUACGUGCCAGCAGCCGCGGUAAUUC
rnacentral:rRNA from 1 species